CGGCAUUACCUGUGUUUGGAUC
rnacentral:piRNA from 1 species